rnacentral:rRNA from 1 species
UAGGGAAUCUUCCGCAAUGGACGCAAGUCUGACGGAGCAACGCCGCGUGAGUGAAGAAGGAUUUCGGUUCGUAAAACUCUGUUGUUAGAGAAGAACAGCGCAUAGAGUAACUGUUAUGCGUGUGACGGUAUCUAACCAGAAAGCCACGGCUAACUACGUGCCAGCAGCCGCGGUAAUACGUAGGUGGCAAGCGUUAUCCGGAAUUAUUGGGCGUAAAGCGCGCGUAGGCGGUUUUUUAAGUCUGAUGUGAAAGCCCACGGCUCAACCGUGGAGGGUCAUUGGAAACUGGAAAACUUGAGUGCAGAAGAGGAAAGUGGAAUUCCAUGUGUAGCGGCGAAAUGCGCAGAGAUAUGGAGGAACACCAGUGGCGAAGGCGACUUUCUGGUCUGUAACUGACGCUGAUGUGCGAAAGCGUGGGGAUCAAACAGG